GGAAAGGUUGUUGUGGCUCAGUGGUAGAUCAUCUGCUUGGCAUGCAAAAAGGUUCCAAGUUCAAUCCCUGGCAUUUCCA
rnacentral:tRNA from 1 species